GACGAACGCUGGCGGCGUGCUUAACACAUGCAAGUCGAGCGGAAAGGCCUUUUGGGGUACUCGAGCGGCGAACGGGUGAGUAACACGUGAGUAAUCUGCCCAUCACUCUGGGAUAGCCAUCGGAAACGGUGAUUAAUACUGGAUAUGAGAUCUGGCCGCAUGGUUGGGUUUGGAAAGUUUUUCGGUGAUGGAUGUGCUCGCGGCCUAUCAGCUUGUUGGUGGGGUAAGGCCUACCAAGGCUUCGACGGGUAGCCGGCCUGAGAGGGUGACCGGCCACACUGGGACUGAGACACGGCCAGACUCCUACGGGAGGCAGCAGUGGGGAAUAUUGGACAAUGGGCGGAAGCCUGAUCCAGCAACGCCGCGUGAGGGAUGACGG
rnacentral:rRNA from 1 species